rnacentral:rRNA from 1 species
UUUCACUGAUUAUUUUGAGUGCAAGAGACGGUUUUAGAAUUCCUGAAGAAAGGGUAAAAUGUUGAUAUAGGAAAACUUUCGAUGGCGAAAGCAUUUACCGAUUCUGUUCUGACGCUAGGUACUAAAGCUUGGGGAGAAAGAGGAUUAGAGACCUCGUAGUCCUUGCCUUAAACAAUGAGUGUUCAACGUCUUAGAAUACUCGGAUUCACUUAAUUGAUGCGAUCCUAGAGGAUUCUUGGGGGUUUAAAGCUAACGCGUGAAACACCGCCUGGGGAAUGUGGCCGCAAGGUAAACUCAAAGGAAUGACGAGACUCAUACAAGGAGUGGAGCAUGUGGUUUAAUUCGAGA